GAAGAUUCGAUGGGUUUUAAUUGAAGAGAGAAAUAAAAAUAAUAGUAUUAUUACUAUUAUUAUUAUUUUUAUUUAAUAGGGCAUAGGGAGUUGUGCACUUCAUCCCUUCCAACUGGUGAAACCCUAAUUUAUGAGAAAACCCUAGUCUUUCAAGGACCCGCUGCCGCCAUCUCCGUCGCGUCUCCUCCUUUGCCAGUCGUUGGCCGUAGUUUGAGUCGCUGACAAGAUCUACUAUCCAUCAGCCAUUGAGCAGAUUUUUCCGUCAAUUCGUCAGUCGUGAGUCUUCAGUUGCAAAUGCCCGAGCUUCCCUUCACGCGAGCCUUCAACCGUAGAUGCCUGAGCCUCCUUCACCCGAGCCAUCUUCAUCGGCCAUCUGUAGCUAAGCUGUUUGUUAUUGAUUCGUUCGUCGCGAGUCACGCACGCGAAGUUCGAGCAUCUCCAACUGCCGAGCCGCAUGCGCAAGCUCCAACCUGCGCGUCCCUCACUCGAGCGAUCCUUAGCUGCGUUCCUGUAAGCUGUACCCGAGUCGCACGCACACCCUAGCCGAGCGUCAGAUUCGAGCCGCCCGCAGUGCCGAGUCGUAGCGCCAGCCGUUCCUGCCUCCUACCCAAGUCGUUUCCUUGCCUUAGACGAGUCAAUUCCUCUCUAUCAAGCCAUGUUGAGCCGCAAGCUUAUUUUUUAUCCUUUUUCCCUAUUUUGAGUUUAGCUGGAAUUCGUGAGUCGUGGAACCUUGUCCUAUAUCAAGGUUGAGUUGGAUCCGAUUGGGUAAGUUGAAUUAAUUAGAUUUUUGGAUCCUAAAUUAACUGCAAAUUAAGUUAUCAUCUUAGUAUUUGUCCUUACUGUUUAGGAUUUUCUUGGGAAGCUUGACUUUGCUAUCAGGAUUGUAUUUCUGUGAAUUAAGCUAAUCUCCAGGUAAAAGAUUCUCCUACUAGACCUUUAAGUUGAAGUAUGAGCUUGCAUGUAACUUUUCCAUUAUGCAUCUCAUAAUUUGUUUAUGACUUAUGAUGAUUGGUAGUCAUGACUAGUCUAUGCUUAUGAUGCCAGUUACUUUUGUCUGAGUUAUGUUGGUGAUGACUGUUGAUGUUAUGCAUUAUUAAUCUCAUGAUUAAGAACGCUAUAGUUAAUAUUCAUGUCAUGAUUAUGACGUUAUAAUAUGCUACAUGUUAUGGAUAGGUUAUACUGUUAGUUUUAUCUAUUAGAGUCGUACUCACAUGGGUGUCCCUCGGGAUCACCAUCUUUUUAUGAUUGUGUAGUUCGAUGGAAUCACCAGUCCAGUAUGAGAUGAUAUGUUAUGAGUAACUCGACGAGGUCACUCAUAACUCGAUUGUCUUGGUGUGUCUUUCGAGAUUCACUAAAGACCAGUUUUUUCUAGGCGUUCGUUGUGUUCACCGAAGACCUGUUUUGUCCUAGGUGUUCCUUUGGGUUCACCAAAGACUAGAGAUGUUCCUACGGGAUCACAGAUUGCGCGUGUUUGGGAACGUGCCAAUUUAGGGGUGCCGCUUUACAAGACUUUAAUAGGAAGUUAAUAGUCACCUAGUAGGACUAGCAGUAUUUCCUUUACUGAGUAUAUUUUUAUACUCACUCUUUUAUGUUUAAAUAUUUUUUCAGGCAAAGGUAAAGGGAGAGGUAGAGGAAAGCUGACGAAUGACAAGAAAUGACCGUGACAUGCCAUAAGGAACAUUUUGCUUCCGCCGUUAUAAUUUUAGUUUGAUUUUAAUAUUUCUUGUACUUUCAUCAUUACUUUUUAAAAUUAGAUAGGACCCGAACUAGGAUUUUGUUAUUUUGGGAUCAUUUCUAUUUAUUUAUUUAGGAUUUUAAAUGAGCGUUUGAAGUUUGAAUCAUGAACAUUUGUUUUAUUUUACAAUUUAAUUUAAUAAAUUUUAUUUUCCUUUA